rnacentral:rRNA from 1 species
UACGGAGGAUGCAAGCGUUAUCCGGAAUGAUUGGGCGUAAAGCGUCCGCAGGUGGCUAUGUAAGUCUGCUGUUAAAGAGUGAGGCUCAACCUCAUAAGAGCAGUGGAAACUACAUAGCUAGAGUGCGUUCGGGGCAGAGGGAAUUCCUGGUGUAGCGGUGAAAUGCGUAGAUAUCAGGAAGAACACCGGUGGCGAAAGCGCUCUGCUGGACCUUAACUGACACUGAGGGACGAAAGCUAGGGGAGCGAAUGGG